rnacentral:ncRNA from 2 species
GCUUCCGAGGAGCGUUGCAAGGCCGCCCGGCCCCAGGCUCGGAACUUCGUCUUUGCAACUGCGCUCACCCGUA